UAUGGGCUGGCUCACCACUGCGGGAUGGUGGGGAAAGGCUGGAAGUUAGAAAUUCACUGCAGAGGGAAUUUCAGACUUCUUCCCCCUCCCUUCCGGGACUGCAGGAAAUCUGCACUGCAAAACACCUCAACUGAGAUAGCGUCAGCUCAGCAGAACUGCAGGAGACCACAGAACUUUUUUGCUGAUUGCUCUGCCGAAGUGUCACUUCUCCCGGGCCCCAAAGGCCUCUCCGGGACCCCCAGGAGCGCACUGACAGAGCUCUCCCCAGGCAGGGCAGGUCACGGCAGCAGCACACAGCCGAACAGACCUAGCACGGUUCACGGGGAUGAACCCUAACCUCAGGCUGAGUGAAGGAACAGCUGACGGAGGUGCUACGCAGUCAGAGAAGCCAAGUGAGGGUGUACGUGUUCUGCAGAUGUCGUCAGAACAGAGCACAGCCUUCAACACUGCUCCCCUGCAUCACCUCACAAGCACAUAUGAACGUCUACCGCUGAUUGUUUUUCUGCAAUUGCAAUGAAUACCUAGUGCUGUCAGCUGGUAGUACUCCACAGCACAGGAACACUGAAGACUUUAUUACACCCAUCUUCUCAGUUUGAGGUCCUGCAAAGACCCACUCAGGGAAGUGUCUUCACAGAAGAAACCACCAACCUGAAGCAUGCAGACGUGUAUUUUGUUUGCAGGUCUGGAACUGCUGCCAGUCCCAUACCCCAAAGUUUUACCACUGAACCAAACAACUGCUCCCAACCUCAGCUGCCUCUCUGAUGUCCACAAGUCUGAUAACAAGAUGAGCGAGCCGGAGUUUGCUGAAGGACAGAUCUGGAUGGACUCAUACCUAAAGAGCACCUUCUGCUCCAUUUUGUGCCCAUUCAGAAAUACUGAGAACAUUAUUUUUCCCCGAGUCUGGAACUUGCAAUGUCUUCCCACAAAAAAACCUUUGUUGCAAACCUUCUGAGGAACAGUUGUCAAACUGUGAAGCAAAUACUCUGUGCUGCCUUUCUUCCAGGCUAAAAUAACUUCCCUUCCUGCAACAAAAGCGUCUCACUUGGAGAAAACCCAACAGCAUGUUGUGAAACACGCGACACUGUAACCAGGAAAGAGCUUUUCUUUAUGGAGAUACAAAACAUGCUCCCUUCCAACGAGCCUCUGCCUUAUUUAUCGCUCCCAAGCGGCUGCUGGAAACUCCUUCAGUGUCCUUUGAUA
ensembl:lncRNA